rnacentral:rRNA from 1 species
UACCAGCUCUCCGAGUGGUAGGGAUGAUUAUUGGGCUUAAAGCGUCCGUAGCCGGCUUAGCAAGUCUCCUGUUAAAUUCAGCGACCUAAUCGUUGACCCGCGGGAGAUACUACUAGGCUAGGAGGCGGGAGAGGUCAACGGUACUUCCGGGGUAGGGGUGAAAUCCUAUAAUCCCGGGAGGACCACCAGUGGCGAAGGCUGUUGACUAGAACGCGCUCGACGGUGAGGGACGAAAGCUGGGGGGAGCGAACCGGAUUAGAUACCCGGGUAGUCCCAGCUGUAAACGAUGCGAGCUAGGUGUUGGGGUGGCUACGUGCCACUUCAGUGCCGCAGGGAAGCCAUUAAGCUCGCCGCCUGGGGAGUACGGCCGCAAGGCUGAAACCUAAAGGAAUUGGCGGGGGAGCACCACAAGGCGUGAAGCUUGCGGUUC